rnacentral:rRNA from 1 species
CAGCCGCCACGGGAAUACGUAGGUGGCAAGCGUUGUCCGGAAUUAUUGGGCGUAAAGGGCUCGCAGGCGGUUUCUUAAGUCUGAUGUGAAAGCCCCCGGCUCAACCGGGGAGGGUCAUUGGAAACUGGGAAACUUGAGUGCAGAAGAGGAGAGUGGAAUUCCACGUGUAGCGGUGAAAUGCGUAGAGAUGUGGAGGAGCACCAGUGGCGAAGGCGACUCUCUGGUCUGUAACUGACGCUGAGGAGCGAAAGCGUGGGGAGCGAACAGGAUUAGAUACCCCCGUAGUCCCUGUCUCUUAUAA